rnacentral:ncRNA from 6 species
AGCAGCCGCGGUAAUUCCAGCUCCAAUAGCGUAUAUUAAAGUUGUUGCAGUUAAAAAGCUCGUAGUUGAAUUUCGGGGUUAGCAGGUCGGUCGUGCCAUCGGUAUGAACUGGUCUCGCUGAUCCCUCCCUCUUGACGAACUGUGAUGCCAUUAAUUUGGUGUCGCAGGGAAUCAGGACUGUUACUUUGAAAAAAUUAGAGUGUUUAAAGCAGGCUCACGCUUGAAUACAUUAGCAUGGAAUAAUGAAAUAGGACGUUUGAUCCUAUUUUGUUGGCUUCUAGGAUUGACGUAAUGAUUAAUAGGGAUAGUUGGGGGCAUUAGUAUUCAAUUGUCAGAGGUGAAAUUCUUGGAUUUAUUGAAGACUAACUACUGCGAAAGCAUUUGCCAAGGAUGUUUUCAUUAAUCAAGAACGAAAGUUAGGGGAUCGAAGACGAUCAGAUACCGUCGUAGUCUUAACCAUAAACUAUGCCGACUAGGGAUCGGAUGAUGUUAAUUUUUUAAUGACUCAUUCGGCGCCUUA